rnacentral:rRNA from 1 species
AGGGAAUAUUAGUAAUGGGCGAAAGCCUGAACUAGCAACGCCGCGUGUGCGAAGAAGGCCUUCGGGUCGUAAAGCACUUUUUGAGAGGAUGAGGAAGGACGGUACUCUCAGAAUAAGUCUCGGCUAACUACGUGCCAGCAGCCGCGGUAACACGUAGGAGGCAAACGUUAUCCGGAUUUACUGGGCGUAAAGCGCGUGUAGGUGGUUUGGUAAGUAGGGCGUGAAAGCUCCUGGCUCAACUGGGAGAGGACGUUCUAAACUGCCAAGCUUGAGGAUGGUAGAGGGAGGUGGAAUUCCGGGUGUAGCGGUGGAAUGCGCAGAUAUCCGGAGGAACACCAGUGGCGAAGGCGGCCUCCUGGACCACUCCUGACACUCAGACGCGAAAGCUAGGGUAGCAAACGG